CUGCGCGGCUUUCGCAAGCGUACAGAGCGAUCCAAGCGAGUCAGUCAGUCAGCCGCCCCGUCAACCAGCCACCUCGGUUAUCACGUAAGAGUCGUGAGUGGGGCUUUUGGAAAAGGCACGCCGCUGCUGCAGGAGUGGCUUGCUGCUUUCGGUAGUGGGGAUACUCGACGGCUCCAGACGGAAACAGAAAUAGAAGGGUGGAAGCGGACGAGAUAGAGGGACGCGGCCGGAGAGGAGAGACGAGGAGAAAGAGAGAAACCGAAUUAGAUGGCAACGGGCGAGAGGAGAUAGGUUGUCGGCGUUGGACGAAGAGAGAACAAACGAGGAAAGGAAGAAAGACGGGGUGAGGGGAGGCAAGGGGCGAGGGUACGCCAGAGGCGGAGGGAGAGAAUAGGAUAGAGAGGGUGGCAAAGCGCUGGAAGGGUGAAGAGAGCGGAGGGAUGGAGACCGUGAGAGCGUGAGAGGGUAGCGAUUGUGCUACAGUCGCACCGCGACACCCCCACGAGUGAAACCGCGCGCGUGCCAAUCUGCCCCCUUAGCCGUACGCACGAAAAGGGCCCGCGAACAGUGCUAUGCUUUUAAGGCUACGGCCAAGGAUUUCGUCGUUUGCCUCGUUUUCGUCGCUUUCGUCGCUUCUCGAACGUUUCUUCGAACGCUUCCUCGAACCCAUCUCCGAGCAGCUUUUAAUCGGAUUCCAGUGACUACUCAAGCUGUGAUAAUUGAUUAACGAUGAAACCAUAAAUUGGAGCCAUUCAAGGUGCCAACGCUAGCUAGUAUCAGUGGUGAGUAAAAAUUGAACCUUUUGCAUUAUAUAAAGUCGUUUCAUUAAUAUUUUUGAAAUUAUAA